rnacentral:rRNA from 1 species
UUUCCGGUUGAUCCCGCCGGGAAGCUACUGCUAUCGGGAUUCGAUUAAGCCAUGCGAGUCGAGAGGGUUCGGCCCUCGGCUGACGGCUCAGUAACACGUGGAUAACCUGCCCUCAGGUAGGGGAUAAUCUCGGGAAACUGAGGAUAAUACCCUAUAGACAUCCUUUGCUGGAAUGCUUGGAUGUUCAAAGGCAACGCCUGAGGAUGGGUCUGCGGCCUAUCAGGUAGUAGUGGGUGUAACGGACCCACUAGCCCACGACGGGUACGGGCCUUGAAAGAGGUAGCCCGGAGAUGGACUCUGAGACACGAGUCCAGGCCCUACGGGGUGCAGCAGGCGCGAAAACUUCGCAAUGCGGGAAACCGUGACGAGGGAAUCCCGAGUGCUCAUACAAUGUAUGGGCUUUUCUGAUGUGUAAAAAGUAUUAGGAAUAAGGGCUGGGUAAGACCGGUGCCAGCCGCCGCGGUAAUACCGGCAGCUCUAGUGGUAGCCACUUUUAUUGGGCCUAAAGCGUCCGUAGCCGGUCAGGUAAAUCCUUGGGUAAAUCGUACAGCUUAACUGUGCGGCUUCCGGGGAGACUGCUUGACUUGGGACCGGGAGAGGUUGGAGGUACUCCUGGGGUAGGGGUGAAAUCCUGUAAUCCUAGGUGGACCACCGGUGGCGAAGGCGUCCAACCAGAACGGCUCCGACGGUGAGGGACGAAGGCUAGGGGCGCAAACCGGAUUAGAUACCCGGGUAGUCCUAGCUGUAAACGCUGCAGACUUGGCGUUGGAGAUCCUGCGAGGGUGUCCAGUGCCGGAGAGAAGUUGUUAAGUUUGCCGCCUGGGAAGUAUGGCCGCAAGGCUGAAACUUAAAGGAAUUGGCGGGGGAGCACCGCAACGGGAGGAGCGUGCGGUUUAAUUGGAGUCAACGCCGGG